rnacentral:rRNA from 1 species
UGCCAGCAGCCGCGGUAACACGGGGGGCGCAAGCGUUAUUCGGAAUUAUUGGGCGUAAAGGGCGUGUAGGCGGUCGAUUUAGUCGGGUGUGAAAGCCCUCCGCUCAACGGAGGAACGGCACUCGAUACUGAUCGACUAGAGUGCGGCAGUGGUAAGUGGAACUCCAGGUGUAGCGGUGAAAUGCGUAGAUAUCUGGAGGAACGCCGGUGGCGAAAGCGACUUACUGGGCCGCAACUGACGCUGAGGCGCGAAAGCUAGGGUAGCGAACGGGAUUAGAUA